UGCCGCGUGUGUGAAGAAGGCCCUCGGGUUGUAAAGCACUUUCAGCGAGGAAGAACGCCUAACGGUUAAUACCCGCUAGGAAAGACAUCACUCGCAGAAGAAGCACCGGCUAACUCCGUGCCAGCAGCCGCGGUAAUACGGAGGGUGCAAGCGUUAAUCGGAAUUACUGGGCGUAAAGCGCGCGUAGGUGGCUUGAUAAGCCGGUUGUGAAAGCCCCGGGCUCAACCUGGGAACGGCAUCCGGAACUGUCAAGCUAGAGUGCAGGAGAGGAAGGUAGAAUUCCCGGUGUAGCGGUGAAAUGCGUAGAGAUCGGGAGGAAUACCAGUGGCGAAGGCGGCCUUCUGGACUGACACUGACACUGAGGUGCGAAAGCGUGGGUAGCAAACAGGAUUAGAUACCCUGGUAGUCCACGCCGUAAACGAUGUCGACCAGCCGUUGGGUGCCUAGCGCACUUUGUGGCGAAGUUAACGCGAUAAGUCGACCGCCUGGGGAGUACGGCCGCAAGGUUAAAACUCAAAUGAAUUGACGGGGGCCCGCACAAGCGGUGGAGCAUGUGGUUUAAUUCGAUGCAACGCGAAGAACCUUACCUACUCUUGACAUCCUGCGAAUUUGGUAGAGAUACCUUAGUGCCUUCGGGAACGCAGAGACAGGUGCUGCAUGGCUGUCGUCAGCUCGUGUUGUGAAAUGUUGGGUUAAGUCCCGUAACGAGCGCAACCCUUGUCCUUAUUUGCCAGCGCGUAAUGGCGGGAACUCUAAGGAGACUGCCGGUGACAAACCGGAGGAAGGUGGG
rnacentral:rRNA from 1 species